UAGGGAAUAUUGCAAAAUGGGCGAAAGCCCGAUGCAGCAACGCCGCGUGGGCGAUGAAGGCCUUCGGGUCGUAAAGCCCUUUUUGAGGGGAUGAGGAAGGACAGUACCCUCAGAAUAAGCAUCGGCUAACUACGUGCCAGCAGCCGCGGUAAAACGUAGGAGGCGAGCGUUAUCCGGAUUUACUGGGCGUAAAGCGCGUGCAGGCGGAUUGGAGAGUUGGAUGUGAAAGCUCCCGGCUUAACUGGGAGAGGUCGUUCAAUACUUCCAGUCUUGAGUGCAGUAGAGGGAAGUGGAAUUCCGGGUGUAGUGGUGAAAUGCGUAGAUAUCCGGAGGAACACCGGUGGCGAAAGCGGCUUCCUGGACUGUAACUGACGCUCAGACGCGAAAGCUAGGGUAGCAAACG
rnacentral:rRNA from 1 species